rnacentral:rRNA from 1 species
GAUGAACGCUAGCGGCAGGGCCUAACACAUGCAAGUCGAGGGGCAGCAUAAAAAUGCUUGCUAUUUUGGUGGCGACCGGCGCACGGGGUGCGUAACGCGUAUGCAAUCUACCCUAUACUGAGGGAUAGCCCGGAGAAAUUCGGAUUAAUACCUCAUAGUAUUUAUGAAUCGCAUGGUUUAUAAAUUAAAGGUUACGGUAUAGGAUGAGCAUGCGUCCCAUUAGCUAGAUGGUAAGGUAAUGGCUCACCAAGGCGACGACGGGUAGCCGGCCUGAGAGGGCGACCGGCCACACUGGGACUGAGACACGGCCCAGACUCCUACGGGAGGCAGCAGUGGGGAAUAUUGGGCAAUGGAGGAAACUCUGACCCAGCGACGCCGCGUGCGGGAUGAAGGCCUUCGGGUUGUAAACCGCUUUCAGCAGGGAAGAAGCGAAAGUGACGGUACCUGCAGAAGAAGCACCGGCUAACUAUGUG